rnacentral:rRNA from 1 species
GACAGAGGGUGCAAACGUUGUUCGGAAUUACUGGGCGUAAAGCGCGUGUAGGCGGCUCGAUAAGUCUGCUGUGAAAGUCCAGGGCUCAACCCUGGGAUGCCGGUGGAUACUGUCGAGCUCGAGUCCGGAAGAGGAGUGUGGAAUUCCUGGUGUAGCGGUGAAAUGCGCAGAUAUCGGGAGGAACACCGGUGGCGAAGGCGGUUCUCUGGGCCUUACCUGACGCUGAGGAGCGAAAGCGUGGGGAGCGAACAGG